rnacentral:rRNA from 1 species
UACGUAGGUGGCUAGCGUUGUCCGGAUUUACUGGGCGUAAAGAGCGCGCAGGCGGUCGUUCAAGUCGAGUGUGAAAGCCCCCGGCUCAACUGGGGAGGGUCACUCGAUACUGGUCGACUCGAAGGCAGGAGAGGGAAGCGGAAUUCCCGGUGUAGUGGUGAAAUGCGUAGAUAUCGGGGAGGAACACCAGUGGCGAAGGCGGCUUUCUGGCCUGUUCUUGACGCUGAGGCGCGAAAGCGUGGGGAGCGAACAGG